AAUAUUUAUAUUGGAACAGACGGUGCCCACAUGUCGCGCUCUCUGUACACUGAAAAAAAAUAAAGGUAGUUAAAAUGGUUCUUCUUCAGCCUUAAGGAUCGGAACCUUUUUUUCAAUUUUCGCCUCAAAUGACCUACCCAAAUCUAACUGCCUGUAGCUCAGGAACUGAAAAGCCUGAAACAACUUCUAACGACUGUUGACAUCUACUAGAAGCCUUAGGAAGUGCAAUCUGACCCCAGAGACACUGGAUAUUGGAUAGGCAUUCACUUGAAAACUACAAGCCUCAGAAUUCCCACUUCCUGGUUGGAUUUUUCGCAUAGACGCAGAAUAGGACAAUGACCAAACACACUUCCAGGCUGUGUAAGAGCUAUUUGACCAAGAAGAAGAGUGAUGGAGUGCUGCAUCAGAUGACCGGGCCUCCACAAUCACCUGACCUUAACCAAAUUGAGAUGGUUUGGGAUGAGUUGGACCGCAGAGUGAAGGAAAAGCAGCCAACAAGUGUUCAUCAUAUGUAGGAACUCCUUCAAAACUGUUGGAAAAGAAUUCCAUGUGAAGCUGGUUGAGAUAAUGCCAAGAGUGUUUAAAGCUGUCUUCAAGGCAAAGGGUGGCUACGUUGAAGAAAAUAUAUUUUGAUUUGUUUAACACUUUUUUGAUUAUUACAUGAUUCCAUAUAUGUUGUUUCAUAGUUUUGAUGGCUUCACUAUUACUAUUAUGUAGCAAACAGUAAAAAUAAAGAAAAACCCUUGAAUGAGUUGGACUGCAAAGUGAAGGAAAAACAGCCAACAAGUACUCAGCAUAUGUGGGAACUCCUUCAAGAUUGUUGGAAAAGCAUUCCAGGUGAAGGUAGGUUGAGAUUAACUUCAGGAUCACACCACCACUCUGAUCUCUGACCAGCUAACACUGUCAGUACACAUGGAACAGUAGAAAGUGAACUUAGAGGAGGUGUUGGGCCACUGGUUGCAUCCCAUUUGGCACCAUAUUCCCAAUAUAAUAUAUUACUUUUGACCAGCACCCAUAGGACUUUGGUCAAAAGUAGUGAACUAUAAAGGAAAUAGGAUGCCAUAGACUUGGUCAAAGGUAGUGGACUAUAUAGGGAAAAGGCUGCAAUUUGGACAGUGGUCAACAGUAGUGCACUAGAAAAUAGGGUGCCAUUUGGGACACACCCUGUCUCACCUCGUCGAAGUCUGCAAUGAUCUCGUUGAGAAGCCUGAGACACUCCACUCCCAUGUUGUUGCCAUCCAGCUCGAUGUAGAAGUUGUUGAAGUUAGCAAUGGAAGCAAACAGCACUCCUACCUGACAAUACGACUGAUAGUACAGGUCCUGAAACAAAUUCAGACAGGUGAGAUAAGCUAAGAUGAAAGGAAUAUUACACAAGUAUUAACAGGUAUUAACAAGUCCUGGGACAGUUGUGCCCUCAAAGCUCAUCACUAAGUUAAGGACCCUGGGACUAAACACCUCCCUCUGCAACUGGAUUCUGGACUUCCUGACAGGCCGCCCCUAGGUGGUAAGGGUACGUAAAACAUCUGCCACGCUGAUCCUCAACACAGGGCCCCUCAGGACUGUGUGCUCGGUCCCCUCCUGUACUCCCUGUUCACCCAUGACUGCAUGGCCAAGCACGACUCCAACACCAUCAUUACAUUUGCCGUACGACCCAGUACAUCACUGGGGCCAAGCUUCCUGCCAUCCAGGACCUCUAUACCAGGCGGUGUCAGAGGAAGGCCCAAAAAAUUGCCAAGGUCUACAGCCACCCUAGUCAUAGACUCUUCUCUCUGCUACCACAUGGCAAUCGGUACCGGAGCGCAAUGUCUAGGUCCAAAUGGCUUCUUAACAGCUUCUAGCCCCAAGCCAUAAGACUCCUGAACAGCUAAUCAAAUGACUACCCAGACUAUUUGCAUUGUCCCCACCCCCUAUUUUUACGCUGCUGCCACUCUCUGUUUAUUAUCCAUGCAUACUCACUUUACCUCUACCUACAGCGCAUGUACAUAUUACCUCAAUUACCUCAACUAACCGGUGCCUCCGCACAUUGACUCUGUACCGGUACCACCUGUAUAUACCCUCGCCACUGUUAUUUUAUUGUUGCGCCUUAAUUAUUUGUUAUGUUUAAAAAAUAUAUAUUACUUCAGUUUAUUUUAGUAAAUACUUUAAUACUUUAUUUCUUAAAUCUGCAUUGUUGGUUCAGGACUUGUAAGUAAGCAUUUCACUGUAAGGUCUACACAUGUUGUAUUUGGCACAUAUGACAGAUACAAUUUGAUUUGAUUUGUUACAAAGGGUUGAGGAGGAAGUUCUGGAUUUUAUAACUUCAUGUUAGAUGGUUCAUCCCCCUGAAAGAACAGUUAUUACAGAUUUAACGGUACCUGUCCUAGAUCAGUGGAGCGAGGGUUCAGUUAUUACAUAGGGUUAACAGUACUGGUCCUAGAACAGAGGCAGAGAGGUAGACAGGGAACUAGGAGUUAAAUAGGGCUAAUACACAUGUCCUGGGACAGUUACAGAGGGUUAACAGUAACUGUUCUAGAAUAGAGGUAGACAAUGAACUAGUAGUUAGAUAGUGCUAAUACACAGGUCUAGGAACGGUUGAUACAGGGUACAGUUUCCAUGAGCAGAGAGAGUAUGUAAGUUAGAUACGGCUAAUUAACUGGUCCUGGGACAGUUGUUUAAGGCUACCAGUACAUAUUCUAGGACAUUGGACUGAUGUGGCUUUCUUGUGCAUUUCUCUGCACUGUGUACCUUAUAUUUGCAACAAUGUAUCAUCUACAGCACCCUGCCAUAUUAGUACAGCGCAUUGAAGGACAUAGGGAUACAUGGGAUUCUUUUAACAUUCCAGGGUCUUAGAGUCACCACUGUUUCCGGAAAGACACUUCCUGGUUCCACUGUUUACAAAACAAUCCUGUUCUUGUAACAGGAAUACACAUUUCCUGGUUGGGAAGUCUCCAGGAUGUUUGAUUUCAUAAUUUCCUGUUCCUGAGAAGGGGGGGGGGGGGCAGACAUCAGUAAGACAGAUAUUGAUCAAUCAAUGGACACAGCAACAGAGAACAGCCAAACAUCAACCACAACCGCAACCACUGUAUGACCUUGGAGGUCAAAGAAGCAAUUCUUGAUAACACCCUGUUCAAAACAUGACCACGUCAUGAUGCGGUCAGAUCACAAUACAACCCAAACACGACCUCAAAUCAACCCAACCGCACCAGCUACUCUAGUGCACCGCUACCCAAACAUUAGAUGACCCAGUUCUG